rnacentral:lncRNA from 1 species
AACGCGAUGUCAGCGUCGCGGUUUUUGGUUGCGCGUACGUGCUUCCCUUCCAGUAUGAUAAUGUAGUGCUGGUAUAUAUAAGCACGUGGUGCUCGUGCGCCCUUGGUACAUACUCUACAUAUACAGCGUGCGUCGAGUGUCCUGGUUGCACACUUGCACCAACCAACCCAAGACAGCUUAUCGGCUGCAGCGCAGAGCCUCUUCCCUCAAGUGUGCUAGAGCGCUUCUUGCCCUUCUUCUCCUCCGUUUUCUGAAGCUACGUUCACGUCAGUUCUAAUACGGCCAUGGCUCUGGACGUCGGUUCCCUGCUAUCGGCGGUGCCCGUCCCCGCCCUCGACGCCGGUGACUGCAGCACGCCGAGGCCGUGGUCCGCGGGUAACGGCGGCGGCGAGGCGGUGUCCGGGGCUGUGCCGGUGCUGUUCGGCGACGACGAGGCGUUGAAGCGGGACCUGGUGGCGUGGGCCAAGGCCGUGGCGUCCAUGGCCAGGGAAUCAGCGCAGCAGUUCCGGUGCUAAUUGAGGAUUCAUUCAGGCUUUACUGUUUCGUGUAGCGAGGAAGUACACUGCUCCUUUUUUCUGAGUCCUUUCUUGAUGGAGCCGUGGUGGUUCUCAACCAGGCAACCAAACCAUGACCAUUGAUCAUUCGGCUUGUAGCCUUUGUACAUGUUCUCCGGAAGGAUGUUUCAGAGUUUUUUCACCCAUACACGGUACACCCAUGUCCUCUGGAACUGUCUUGUCCUACAAAGCCACAAUGUUUUGGUUUUCGCUAUCCCCCAAUUUGGCGGCUGGGUUUGGCUGUCUGCGGUCUGCACGAAGACUGGGAUUGUGCUAUUGAUCACUUCUCACUACUGACUAUCGGGAUUGCCCAUCGAAUCCAAUAAAUCGCGUUCCACUUACACAAGGUUCUAUUUCAACAAUCUAACUUACAGCCAUGUUGCUUAUGAAAUCCCCCAUUAGAAAUGGCCUUAUGAACAAAGGAGAUCAAAGUUUUUCAGCCAUAAAAAAGUAAUGGAGGGGUUCCACACUCUCGAUGUGCUGCAAGUCAAGCAGGCACUAUUUCCACAUAUUCUUGCCUGUCCAUGGGAAUUCUUCGGGUAUUAUCUGUCAUUUCCUCCACGCGUAGCACGGAAUGGAUUUGGU